CCUACUGGAGUCAGCAGUGGGGAAUAUUGCGCAAUGGGCGAAAGCCUGACGCAGCGACGCCGCGUGAGGGAUGAAGGUCUUCGGAUCGUACACCUCUGUCAGCAGGGAAGAAAGGUCACAGUGCUAAUCAGCAGUGAAUUGACGGUACCUGCAAAGGAAGCACCGGCUAACUCCGUGCCAGCAGCCGCGGUAAUACGGAGGGUGCGAGCUUUAAUCGGAAUUACUGGGCGGAAAGCGCUCGUAGGCGGUAUGGCAAGUCAAGGGUGAAAUCCCCGCGCUCAACGUGGGAACUGCCUUUGAAACUGGCGAGCUGGAGUGUGUGAGAGGGUAGUGGAAUUCCAGGUGUAGGAGUGAAAUCCGUAGAUAGCGGGAGGAACAUCAGUGGCGAAGGCGACUAUCUGGCACAUAACUGACGCUGAGGAGCGAAAGCGUGGGUAGCAAACAGGAUUAGAUACCCUUGUAGUC
rnacentral:rRNA from 1 species